UUUCAAGUUGAUCAAAUCCAUUUCAGAAUGUUCCUCAGUUUAUGCAGAAUCACUUUAAAUAAGUGUAAGUAAAAUGUGUUCGUUUUAUCACUGGAUCUGUUUAUUAGGUUUUAAAAGUGCAUUUCCACUAUACCAUCAACAGCAGUAAGGGAAAAAAGGGAGGAGCGGUGACAGAAAAUCUGUUUGACAAAGUAAAUAGUCUCUUUGCACAUGUGUAUAUAUAUGUAUGGGGGUUUAUAUGGCUAAAGUAAUGGUGAUGGCACUGAUGGAACAGACACUUUUUAGCAUUAUAAUGACAAAUCAUAAAAGAUGGCACACUUUAAAAAAAGAUGAUGUUUAUUGGAGACUUGAUUAUUUCCUUCAGCAAUUGGAAAAUUGACUGAGACAAGAGAACCCAGCAAGUGAGGAUCCAAAUUGAAACACUAAGUCAUGUCUACAUGCUCCUGAGAGGAAACUUCUGAGAGUGCCAAAUCCAGUCAGGCCUCCAUAUGAUUGACAAGGAUGCCAUUGCCACCAAAGAGAAGUGCAAGACCUGGCAUGAUCACUCAGCAGAGGUGCUCAGAGACACCCAGAGAGUCAAUGGCGAAGGUGCUGCUGAGAGCUGGGAUUGAAGGCAAGGAAGAGUCAGCUGCUUCAGUGGGUCUCAAGCCUGGUGGUAAUUGUCUUGUCUUUGUCCUUACUGAGUACAGCUGGGUGACAUCUUUCAGUCAGAUCCUGUUUCCCUGAAAAAUACAGAUUGUGGUUGGUGGAAUUGUUCAGCAAAUUUCUGUCAGUCUUGGUGAACUGUUAGAGUUGAUAAAUCCUGGUGUGUG
rnacentral:lncRNA from 1 species